GGCGCGCUUAGUAGAGGGUAAAAUUGAAAGCUGCGCGCGCAUACCUUUACGAAAGUGCGAUAUAUGAAGUUAGCCGUCAAAGAUAAAUAAAAGGGAAAAUUAUAUAUUUUAUUGACUAAGUUCACUCGUAAAAGACCUACAUUGUAAACGUGAUAGGGGUGUACCCUAAGUAUUACAUUUUAUUUAUAUUUUAUUAAUUGUGAAUAAUUAUCUAUAUACACAAAUGUAUUUAUAUUAUUAAUUAAAUUGUCCCACAUUGUGUAGUAAAAGAUUUAUCAGUAACAAAACUUGUGUAAUAAAAUAACCUCAAAAACUUUAAAAAUGUUUUUAAGUAUUAGAGGUUAAUUUUUUUAUCAUUUUUCAUUAUCCGGAUUUCAAUUGGAAAGUGAAUCUACUGUUGUACUACAAUAUUUUUUAUCUUAAUGAGUUGUGUCACCUAUUUAGUAACAUAGAUGAGUGAAACUGUCUGGAGAUAAAAAAGACAAAAACCAUGUGCUGUUGAUUCCAGAGAGGCGGUAAAAAAAAACACGACUUCUGAAUAAGUAUGAGAAAAUGUUAGUAAAGAAGUGACUCAAACCUCAUAAAAAGGGGGAGUAAAAAGAUAAUUAUCAAUUGUGUACAA
rnacentral:lncRNA from 1 species